rnacentral:rRNA from 1 species
AUGGGUGGAAUUGUUGCUAGAUGGUUAAGUCUGAACCGUACUAAGGGCCCCAUCUUUGGAGGCAUUUAUGCUUCACGCCUAGCUGAACAUUUUGAAAUACCUAUUAGGCAUGAGGAGAAAGAGGAAACAUCACUGCCCCAUGCUUAUUUAGAUUAUAAGAGUAUGAUAGUGAAUGAUUUUCUUAUUAAGAGUCGCGAAGGGGAGCUCAAAUACAAAUUAUACUUUGAUAAACAUCAUCCCGAGACUAUUACUUUGCCUGCUCCUUCUUUGUUUAACUUAUCGGUAGGUCCUCACAUCGUUCUGUUGUCGGCUAUUCAAGCCUAUCGGAAUCCUGCACCAGCCCCGGAACCGGAACCACAAGAUGAGCCUCCACAACUAUCUGUUUAUUCUUGGGAUCCAGAGGAGGUUGCCAGUCAGUGGCAGCCAGAGCCUUCUUCAUCACAGUAUGACCCCAGCUUCACCUACGGAUAUCCGCCAGGCUAUCCAUGGCAAUAG